GGGUGCGAUCAUACCAGCACUAAUGCACCGGAUUCCAUCAGAACUCCGCAGUUAAACGUGCUUGGGCGAGAGUAGUACUAGGAUGGGUGGCCUCCUGGGAAGUCCUCGUGUUGCACCCC
rnacentral:rRNA from 1 species